rnacentral:rRNA from 1 species
GGAAUAUUGGGCAAUGGGCGAAAGCCUGACCCAGCAACGCCGCGUGAAGGAAGAAGGUUUUCGGAUCGUAAACUUCUGUCCUAUAUGAAGAUCGUGACGGUAGUAUAGGAGGAAGCCCCGGCUAACUACGUGCCAGCAGCCGCGGUAAUACGUAGGGGGCGAGCGUUGUCCGGAAUGAUUGGGCGUAAAGGGCGCGUAGGCGGCCCGGUAAGUCUGGAGUGAAAGUCCUGCUUUUAAGGUGGGAAUUGCUUUGGAUACUGUUGGGCUUGAGUGUAGGAGAGGUUAUCGGAAUUCCCGGUGUAGCGGUGAAAUGCGUAGAGAGCGGGAGGAACACCAGUGGCGAAGGCGGGUAACUGGACUGCAACUGACGCUGAGGCGCGAAAGUGUGGGGAGCAAACA